rnacentral:rRNA from 1 species
GUAGGAGUACUCCUACGGGAGGCAGCAGUGGGGAAUUUUGGACAAUGGGGGCAACCCUGAUCCAGCCAUGCCGCGUGCGGGAAGAAGGCCUUCGGGUUGUAAACCGCUUUUAGCCGGGACGAAAGCUGUACGGAUAACACCCGUGCAGGUUGACGGUACCGGCGGAAUAAGCACCGGCUAACUACGUGCCAGCAGCCGCGGUAAUACGUAGGGUGCGAGCGUUAAUCGGAAUUACUGGGCGUAAAGCGUGCGCAGGCGGUUCGUUAUGUCGGCGGUGAAAGCCCCGGGCUCAACCUGGGAAUGGCCGUUGAAACUGGCGAACUGGAGUGUGGCAGAGGGGGGUGGAAUUCCGCGUGUAGCAGUGAAAUGCGUAGAGAUGCGGAGGAACACCGAUGGCGAAGGCAGCCCCCUGGGCUGACACUGACGCUCAGGCACGAAAGCGUGGGGAGCAAACAGGAUUAGAUACCCUGGUAGUCCACGCCGUAAACGAUGAGUGCUAGUUGUCGGCAUGCAUGCAUGUCGGUGACGCAGCUAACGCAUUAAGCACUCCGCCUGGGGAGUACGGUCGCAAGAUUAAAACUCAAAGGAAUUGACG